UUUGAUAACGUGUAGAUAUAAAAGCAAGUAAUUGAGGUUUAUUAUGGUCGGCCCCAGUUAUAUUGAGAUUAUGUUAUAUUGAGUGAAUAAGGUGUAUCUAGUAAGGAUGCUCAUAAGCUCUCAACCGUUACAAUUUUUGGGUCCUUAAAUUCCAUCUAUGAAGACUCAAGAGAGCAUCAUCAAAAAUCAGAAAAUAAUAUACCGAAAAGUCAUAAUAGAGCAUUGGGAAUUAGGAGAGACGUAGUUGAAGAACUUCUCUCAUCGCUGCCAGCCUGCCAUGGAAACUUAAUAAUCAUGGAGCUUACCUGUCCAUGCGGAAAUGGUAUUUUAAUCAAGAAUGUAACAACAAAAGGCCCUAAUGUGACCCGUCCUUAUUACAAAUCCCGGUUCACAGAAGGCAAGUUUUAUAUACUUCAAUAUAUUGUUUUUUUCUAUAUAUAUAUUUUAAUGUUAUAUCUUAAUCAAUGUUAUGUGACAGGGAAAUAACAUCCCAGAUUGUAAGUUCUAUUCAUUCGAGGAUGAACUAAAGCAGUGUCCCUGUGGACGUGGCUUUUGCCGCACCGCCUUUAUAAGAAAAGAAAAAUUUUGGUGCUGCUGCGUUCAGGGACUUGGUGAUUGCGGAUUCAUGAUGAGGAUCACAUCAACCUGGCAACUGCCGAGGGAUUGGAACUCGAACCCUCAAUCUUCCUCGGCAGCGUCUCAAUCUUCCUCGGCAGCGUCUCAAUCUCCCUCGGCACAAUUUCAACAAUUUCAGUCUCCCUCGACACAAUUUCAAUAUCCCUCGGCACAGGUUCAAUCUCCCUCGGACAGUGGCACAGUUUCACUCCUUCUGCUACGUUUCAAUCUUCCUCGGCGCAGUUUCAAUCUCCUUCCAGCCCUUUGAUGCACACUCCCUUGGCUCAGCCUCAGUCCUCUCCUCCCAUUACCCAAGAUAGGUCUCGGUCUCCUCCCAGCCAAGUUGUGCUGCUUACACAAUCUCUCAAAGUAGCUCAAUCAAGUGUUGCUGCCUAUCUUAAUCUUAUUGAAAACAUGAACUAAUUUCCACGGACUUAUUAUUCCAGAUGGCAAAUACAGUAGACAGUACAAGCAAUUACAGCAUGGAGCGCCAAUAUAAAACUUCCGGCCGUCUCAUUAACCUGAUUUCUAUUGUAGAAGAAUUGCGUAGUACUUCUGAGGCUUUUCUCAGUCAUUGCUUAGAGUUAGGGGGUUAUUCAACUUUUUGUCCCUUCCUAAAUCCCCAAUUCCUUCUCCUUUUUUGUUAGA